UGGGGAAUAUUGCGCAAUGGGCGAAAGCCUGACGCAGCGACGCCGCGUGAGGGAUGAAUGCCUUCGGGUUGUAAACCUCUUUCAGCAGGGAAGAAGCGAAAGUGACGGUACCUGCAGAAGAAGCACCGGCUAACUACGUGCCAGCAGCCGCGGUAAUACGUAGGGUGCAAGCGUUGUCCGGAAUUAUUGGGCGUAAAGAGCUCGUAGGCGGUCUGUCGCGUCUGCUGUGAAAACUCAGGGCUUAACCCUGAGCUUGCAGUGGGUACGGGCAGACUAGAGUGCAGUAGGGGAGACUGGAAUUCCUGGCGUAGCGGUGAAAUGCGCAGAUAUCAGGAGGAACACCGGUGGCGAAGGCGGGUCUCUGGGCUGUAACUGACGCUGAGGAGCGAAAGCGUGGGGAGCGAACAGG
rnacentral:rRNA from 1 species